rnacentral:misc_RNA from 1 species
CAACCCUCAAGCUCUGCUUGGUCUUGGACCUGGCUGUGAUGGCCGGUCUUAAAAUCAGUGGCGGUGCUGUUGCAGGCUCCAAGCGUAGUACAUCUCUCGCUCUGGAAGCCUGGCAGUGCCUGCCAGACAACCCCUAAUUGUCUCUUAC